AGUGAACGCUGGCGGUAGGCCUAACACAUGCAAGUCGAACGGCAGCACAGGAGAGCUUGUUCUCUGGGUGGCGAGUGGCGGACGGGUGAGGAAUACAUCGGAAUCUACUCUGUCGUGGGGGAUAACGUAGGGAAACUUACGCUAAUACCGCAUACGACCUACGGGUGAAAGCAGGGGACCUUCGGGCCUUGCGCGAUUGAAUGAGCCGAUGUCGGAUUAGCUAGUUGGCGGGGUAAAGGCCCACCAAGGCGACGAUCCGUAGCUGGUCUGAGAGGAUGAUCAGCCACACUGGAACUGAGACACGGUACAGACUCCUACGGGAGGCAGCAGUGGGGAAUAUUGGACAAUGGGCGCAAGCCUGAUCCAGCCAUACCGCGUGGGUGAAGAAGGCCUUCGGGUUGUAAAGCCCUUUUGUUGGGAAAGAAAUCCAGCUGCUAAUACCCGGUUGGGAUGACGGUACCCAAAGAAUAAGCACCGGCUAACUUCGUGCCAGCAGCCGCCGUAA
rnacentral:rRNA from 1 species